rnacentral:rRNA from 1 species
AGAGUGAACGCUGGCGGUAGGCCUAACACAUGCAAGUCGAACGGCAGCACAGUAGGAGCUUGCUCUUACGGGUGGCGAGUGGCGGACGGGUGAGGAAUACAUCGGAAUCUACCUUUUGGUGGGGGAUAACGUAGGGAAACUUACGCUAAUACCGCAUACGCCCUUCGGGGGAAAGCCGGGGACCAGCAAUGGCCUGGCGCUGAUAGAUGAGCCGAUGUCGGAUUAGCUAGUUGGUGAGGUAACUGGCUCACCAAGGCGACGAUCCGUAGCUGGUCUGAGAGGAUGAUCAGCCACACUGGAACUGAGACACGGUCCAGACUCCGUACGGGAGGCAGCAGGUGGGGAAUAGUUGGACAAGUGGGACGCAAGCCUAGACUCCAGUCCAGUACCCGGCGGUAGGGU